rnacentral:rRNA from 1 species
GGACCCGCACAAGUAGUGGAGCAUGUGGUUUAAUUCGAAGAUACGCGCAGAACCUUACCAACACUUGACAUGUUCGUCGCGACUUUAAGAGAUUAAAGUUUUCGGUUCGGCCGGACGAAACACAGGUGCUGCAUGGCUGUCGUCAGCUCGUGUCGUGAGAUGUUGGUUAAGUCCCGCAACGAGCGCAACCCUCACUUUUAGUUGCCAUCAUUUAGUUGGGCACUCUAGAAAGAACUGCCAGUGAUAAGCUGGAGGAAGGUGGGGAUGACGUCAAGUCCUCAUGGCCCUUACGUGUUGGGCUACACACGUGCUACAAUGGCAUUUACAAUAGGAAGCAAGAUGGCAGACGUCAAG